rnacentral:lncRNA from 10 species
AACGCGCUGGGGUCCCAUUCCGUGUUGUGGGGGUUUUUUUCUUUAGCUCUUCGCAAUAAAUCUUGCUGCUGCUCACUCUUUGGGUCCACGCCCCUUUAUGAGCUGUAACACUCACCGCGAAGGUCUGCAGCUUCACUCCUGAAGUCAGCAAGACCACAAACCCACCAGGAGGAAUGACCAACUCCGGACGGCCACCUUUAUGAACUGUAACACUCACCGCGAAGGUCUGCAGCUUCACUCCUGAAGUCAGGGAGACCACGAACCCACUAGGAGGAAGAAACUCGGGACUCGCCCGAACAUCGGAAGGAACAAACUCCAGACACACCAUCUUUUAAGAACUGUAACACUCACUGCGAGAGUUUGCGGCUUCAUUCUUGAAGUCAGCGAGAUCAAGAACCCACCAAUUCCGGACACAAUACCUUACAGACUCUGAAUGUUCAGUAUUACUUUAUUUCCUUCCAAUCAUAAAUGUUAAACUGAUAGAGAUUUCAAGUUCUAUAUGUUGAUAAGUUGCAUAAGAUAAUUUCGGCUUUAUGUUUUGACAUUAUUUUCAUGUAGGUAUUUUAUAGAUUAGCAUAAAAUAUUACGUAUUUUUAUAAUUUGAAAAGAUAUUGAAAACUGUGUUUUACUUUUUCUGGCUUUUAUUUUUAUUCUUGAACACCAUGGUCAAUUGCUUUUUUACUUUCAUUUCUCAACUUGUUUGGACAAAUUUUGCAAAGAUAUUCUUACCCUUGGCCUCUCCCGACAAAUUCCUCUCAUAAGUAAAUAUUAUCUUGAGAAUGUGUGGACUCUUAUGUAGAAAAAGAACAACAUAAACUCAAUGUUUAUUAAAAAACGUGAGAUUACAAAUGACUUUUUUAAAAAGGGAAUCAAAUUUCAUUUCAGGAAACUUACUAGAAAAAAAUUCUUAUGAACACCUAAACUAGUGUAAGUGUGUUAUUCUGUGAAAACAGUAAUUCCUUAUUUCAAAAAUAGUUUCUAAUAAAAGAACCUGGAUUAUAUAGCUACUCAAGUUGAACAGAUGAUCACAAAGAACCUUAACUGUAACCAUAUUUAGCUAUCAAAAAUAGAAAGGAAAUUUUGGUUAUAGUUCUCUGUCCCACAUUUAAUUUAAAAGAAUAAUGGCUAUUUGUUAUCAAAGUAUUUUAAUACAUUUCUUAUGUCUGCCCAUCUAAAAUGAAAACUUUUAUUUCCAUAAAGUUUUGUAUAACAUGUCUUAAAUGAAUGUGCAGUCAUAACUGCAUUCGGUUACUAAAGGAACUAAUAAUUCAUAAAUUGCAUUUAUUUGUAUGUUACUAACAUUAAAAAGAGAUGUUUUGUCAUGUUUAUAAUGAUCGUCAUGUAUAUAAUGAUAUAUGUUUAUAAUGAUGACAUCAUCGUCAUUGUAAGAUUAGCUAAACUCUUUGUCCUUCAGUAUAAAAAUUAAAGCCAGUAUAUUAUUUUU